GGAAUUGGCCUGCAAGGGGGGAUACAGGAACCUCCCCCCACAACCACCCCUCCCCACCUCACCGCUGCCCUCACCCCUAUAGCCACCAGCAGCCACCCCACUAAUCCAAACACCAGCCCCGAGGCCCCCACCCCAAACGCUGCAAGCCCAACCUUCCCGUUGCCAACUGCCCAGCCCAGCACUGCUGUCACCUCCAUCACCUCCACCCCAGCCCCUAGCUCCAUCACCCCAUGCUUCAUCCACCAGCCCACCACCUCCAAGUCCCCUGCUGCCACCCUCCUCACCACCAUCCUCACUGCUGUCAGCCCCAGGGCCACCUCUUCCAGCUCUGUCCCACCCCCAGCUGUCACACACGGUGCCACCACCAGCACUGAUGUUCCCAAUCCCACAGGCACCAUCCGCAGCACUGGGACCCCACUGGUGUCCCCAGCACUGGGAGGUACCACCGGCUCAGCUCCUGCCCCCUGUAACACCACCACCCCAAGCUCCCCCUGUGCCCUUGUCCCAAAGCCCACCUCUGUGCCUGCUGCCAUCACAGCCACAGAAAUGAAUCCCCUCUCCCACAAGCCCACCACCCCACUUCCCAACAUCACUGCCUCCACCCAAAGUAUCAGCUCCUCAACGAGCAAGACUACAGAAAUCACUUGCAAGACUGGUGUUUCUCCAGCACCUCUCAGCACCUCUUCCAUCACCUCCAGCAGAGAGAUCACCAAGAAAGCACCAGUAGAUGUGCCAGAGACACCAAAACCCCCACCUGCUGGAUACAUCAAUCUGCAACCUGAACCUGGCUCAGGAUCCAGGCUGUCCUCAUGCUUACUCCACAUAUUGACCACAGCCAUAGGAAUAUCACUGCUGCAAGGGCUUCUCUGACACGGCACCUCCAGCACUGCGCUCCCAAAUCCCUCCUCCCACAUUCAUCAUCCUGCAAAACGAUGCUGGCAAAUUUCUACCUGAGAGGUAGAAACCCGGGGAAGGAGAAGAGUUUGUCCUUUUGAUUCCAGCAAGGAAAGCUCACUUUGUUUUGAAUCUGGAAAGUGAAAUGAGGACAGAUGAUUUUCCAUCCCAAAGCAGCCCAGCAGGUACUUCACUAGCUAGCUGCUCUAUACAAUUAUCAGUUAAUAUUGGCUGAUCCAGUACUACUUUAAUGCUGACAGUGAGCACAAUUCUGCCAGCUUUAUUCACACUGGGUGCUAUUUUGCUUCUAAGCAGUCCCACAGUUAAAAAACUGUGGGAAAACUCAGGGACUCAAACUGCUGGCCCCUGCAAGAGAGGUGGAACAUGGCCCAGAAACGCAGCCUGAAAACUCAGCCAGAAAUCCACUAAAUUGCAUUUAAUUUGCUUCAUGAACUUAAGAGAAUUGUCAUCAACAUUUGUUCAAACUACACUAAGCCUAGUUAGGAAGACAAAUUGAAGGUAGUUUAUCUUGAUUACUGUUGCAAUUAUAUAUAAUAAAACAAUCAACUAUUUUUUUCCUAAUCA
rnacentral:lncRNA from 1 species